AUGCACAUACACAUAAUAGUUUAGAAAAUAGUUCAUACAAUCAUGCAAGCAUUAAUUUGAAAAUGCUCUCGUGUUGUUUUUUGUUUUAAUUUUUUUUUGAGCCAUCAUGCAUUUAAGCAACGCUUUGUAACUUUAUGGCCCUCUAGCGGUUGAAGUAUUAAACUACAAGUCACAUGCGGAGGAAUAUUGUUUUGAUAAUUACGUGAGUUGUGCUUCGGCUCUGCUACUUUUGUGGUUUUCAUUCCUGUAAAAAAUUAAACGUCGCUACCCUAAAGUCUCUAACAAAAGACGGAUAUAUAAAAAUAUGUUUUGAGCAGACUUACAUCCAUUGCUGCGGCACUGGUUUCCAUGCUCUGCUGGUGACUCCUCAGAAGCAGCUGUAAAUCCUCCAGGCUCAUGUCAACAUUCUCCACACCAUCAGGAAUCUCUGAUCUUACAUAUAAAUUAAAAUAGAUUUUUCAGUGAAGUAAAAUAUCCUCGGCCCUCUAGGACGGACUGUACCAUGGCAACAGGGAGGACGGGGGGUUCAGUGCACACCUCACAGGAGCCAAGUGGUACACCCUCUCCUCGUCCCUGCACCCCAGGACUCACUGGCUCUUCCUUAAUCAG